UACGAGGGGGGCAAGCGUUGUUCGGAAUUACUGGGCGUAAAGCGAGUGUAGGUGGUUGUCCAAGUUGGAUGUGAAAGCCUUGAGCUUAACUCAAGAAAUGCAUUCAGGACUGGGCGGCUAGAGGACCGGAGAGGAUAGUGGAAUUCCCAGUGUAGUGGUGAAAUACGUAGAGAUUGGGAAGAACACCAGUGGCGAAGGCGGCUAUCUGCACGGUUUCUGACACUAAGACUCGAAAGCGUGGGGAGCAAACAGG
rnacentral:rRNA from 1 species